GGGGGGAGCGCCAGAUCCUGGGCUGUGUCCCCCAGUGCCCUGGGCUCCCGGGCUUGCGCCGCUGGAAUCGCGCUCCCUCCCGAGCUGCACAGCCCCGG
rnacentral:pre_miRNA from 1 species